rnacentral:rRNA from 1 species
AGAGUUUGAUCCUGGCUCAGAUUGAACGCUGGCGGCAGGCCUAACACAUGCAAGUCGAGCGCGAAAGCACUUCGGUGUGAGUAGAGCGGCGGACGGGUGAGUAACGCGUAGGAAUCUACCUAGUAGUGGGGGACAACUCGGGGAAACUCGAGCUAAUACCGCAUAAGCCCUACGGGGGAAAGCGGGGGACCUUCGGGCCUCGUGCUAUUAGAUGAGCCUGCGUUGGAUUAGCUAGUUGGUGGGGUAAAGGCCUACCAAGGCGACGAUCCAUAGCUGGUCUGAGAGGAUGAUCAGCCACACCGGGACUGAGACACGGCCCGGACUCCUACGGGAGGCAGCAGUGGGGAAUAUUGCGCAAUGGGCGAAAGCCUGACGCAGCCAUGCCGCGUGUGUGAAGAAGGCCUUCGGGUUGUAAAGCACUUUCAAUUGGGAGGAAAGGUUCACGGUUAAUAACCGUGAGCUGUGACGUUACCUUUAGAAGAAGCACCGGCUAACUCCGUGCCAGCAGCCGCGGUAAUACGGAGGGUGCGAGCGUUAAUCGGAAUUACUGGGCGUAAAGCGCGCGUAGGUGGUCUGUUAAGUCGGAUGUGAAAGCCCCGGGCUCAACCUGGGAACUGCAUUCGAUACUGGCAGACUAGAGUGCGAGAGAGGGAGGUAGAAUUCCAUGUGUAGCGGUGAAAUGCGUAGAUAUGUGGA